CAGGACUCAGCUGGCAGGGCUGUGCAGCUUGCUGCCAGCUCCGUUACCUCUGCUCCUUCACAGGUGUUCGUGGUUGGACGGUGGGCGGAGUGCGCACACCUGCAGCUCGUUCGGCAGCAUCUGAGCGUUCUAUAAGAACUGCGUCCGAACAGCGAGAGGACGCCAGAGUGUUUUCGUUGCGGUAUGCGUGACAGCCUCGACCUCUAGCCUACCCUUGUUCCCAGAGACUAAUCCUUCGUUUGCUCUCUCUCUCAAGGUUCCCCCUGUGUCUACGUGAACCCAGUUUGACUCUAGAGUUCCUCGACUCGAUCAGACGUACCUCUGCUCUGGACGCGAGUCACACCAACUCUCUCUCCGGUUCCUCUCGCUGCUCUGGAUCCCUGGACGCCCUCGGUGCUGCUCGGACCCCCUCGCCCCGCUCUCCGUCGACCCGAACGCCUGCUCAAGACAAUCCAGCUGAGUCCUCCUACCGUCUCUCCCGUUCGGUUAUCCAAUCCUCGUGACUGGUCCGGUCCCUUGGCCCCCGGGAUAGUUCGAGCCGUCAUCGUCUCCCGCCCCGCAGAUUACCGCUGCGCUCCGUGUGCUCCCGUGUCAAUAAUAAAUCCUUGAAUUCUGA